UACGAAGGGUGCAAACGUUGCUCGGAAUUAUUGGGCGUAAAGAGCUCGUAGGCGGUUUGUUGCGUCGGCCGUGAAAACCUGCAGCUUAACUGGGAGCUUGCGGUCGAUACGGGCAUCACUGGAGUUCGGCAGGGGAGACUGGAAUUCCUGGUGUAGCGGUGAAAUGCGCAGAUAUCAGGAGGAACACCGGUGGCGAAGGCGGGUCUCUGGGCCGAUACUGACGCUGAGGAGCGAAAGCGUGGGGAGCGAACAGG
rnacentral:rRNA from 1 species